GCCGGCGUAGCUCAGUGAUAGAGCAACUGAUUCGUAAUCAGUAGGUCGGAGGUCCGACUCCUCUCGCCGGCUCCA
rnacentral:tRNA from 1 species